AUACUUACCUGGCAGGGGAGAUACCAUGAUCAUGAAGGUGGUUUUCCCAGGGCAAGGCUUAUCCAUUGCACUCUGGAUGUGCUGACCCCUUCAAUUUCCCCAAAUGUGGGAAACUCGACUGCAUAAUUUGUGGUAGUGGGGGACUAUGUUGGUGCUCUCCCCUG
rnacentral:snRNA from 1 species